CCUACGGGUGGCAGCAGUAGGGAAUAUUGCUCAAUGGGGGAAACCCUGAAGCAGCCAAGUCGCGUGAGGGAAGACGGUCCUAUGGAUUGUAAACCUCUUUUGUUAGAGAAGAUAAUGACGGUAUCUAACGAAUCAGCACCGGCUAACUCCGUGCCAGCAGCCGCGGUAAUACGGAGGGUGCAAGCGUUACUCGGAAUCACUGGGCGUAAAGAGCGCGUAGGCGGGAUAGCAAGUCAGAUGUGAAAUCCUAUGGCUUAACCAUAGAACUGCAUUUGAAACUGUUAUUCUAGAGUAUGGGAGAGGUAGGUGGAAUUCUUGGUGUAGGGGUAAAAUCCGUAGAGAUCAAGAGGAAUACUCAUUGCGAAGGCGACCUGCUAGAACAUAACUGACGCUGAUGCGCGAAAGCGUGGGGAGCAAACAGGAUUAGAUACCCGGGUAGUC
rnacentral:rRNA from 1 species